GUGCUCACUUCAGCAGCAAAUAUACUAAAAUUGAAAUGAUACAGAGAAGAUUAGCAUGGCCCCUGUGCAAAAAAAAAAAAAAAAAAAUGUGAAGCAUUUGUUCCAUAUUUUU
ensembl:snRNA U6 U6 spliceosomal RNA